GAUGAACGCUGGCGGCGUGCUUAACACAUGCAAGUCGAACGGAAAGGCCCAAGCUUGCUUGGGUACUCGAGUGGCGAACGGGUGAGUAACACGUGGGUGAUCUGCCCUGCACUUCGGGAUAAGCCUGGGAAACUGGGUCUAAUACCGGAUAGGACCACUUCUUGGAUGUUGUGGUGGAAAGUUUUUUCGGUGUGGGAUGAGCUCGCGGCCUAUCAGCUUGUUGGUGGGGUAAUGGCCUACCAAGGCGUCGACGGGUAGCCGGCCUGAGAGGGUGUACGGCCACAUUGGGACUGAGAGACGGCCCAGACGCCUACGGGAGGCAGCAGUGGGGAAGAUUGCACAAUGGGCGCAAGCCUGAUGCAGCGACGCCGCGUGGGGGAGGACGGCCUUCGGGUUGUAAACUCCUUUCGCUAGGGACGAAGCGUUUUGUGACGGUACCUGGAGAAGAAGCACCGGCUAACUACGUG
rnacentral:rRNA from 1 species